UACGUAGGGUGCAAGCGUUGUCCGGAAUUAUUGGGCGUAAAGAGCUCGUAGGCGGUUAGUCGCGUCGGCUGUGAAAUCCCGAGGCUCAACCUCGGGUCUGCAGUCGAUACGGGCGGACUGGAGUUCGGCAGGGGAGACUGGAAUUCCUGGUGUAGCGGUGAAAUGCGCAGAUAUCAGGAGGAACACCGGUGGCGAAGGCGGGUCUCUGGGCCGAUACUGACGCUGAGGAGCGAAAGCGUGGGGAGCGAACAGG
rnacentral:rRNA from 1 species